rnacentral:rRNA from 1 species
GACAGAGGGUGCAAACGUUGUUCGGAAUUACUGGGCGUAAAGCGAGUGUAGGCGGUGGGGUGAGUCGGAUGUGAAAGCCCCGGGCUCAACCCGGGAAGUGCACUCGAUACUGCCACGCUAGAGUAUCGGAGAGGUUGGUGGAAUUCUCGGUGUAGAGGUGAAAUUCGUAGAUAUCGAGAGGAACACCAAUGGCGAAGGCAGCUCGCUGGGACGGUACUGACGCUGAGGCGCGAAAGCGUGGGGAGCAAACAGG